AAAGAAAGAAAGAAAGAAAGAAAGAAAGAAAGAAAGAAAGAAAGAAAGCAAACAAAGGAAGGAAGGAAGGAAGGAAGGAAGGAAGGAAGGAAGGAAGGAAGGAAGGAAGGAAGGAAAGAGGGCAUUGCUUCAAAUCUGUUGGAGAUAUGUAAUUUAAAAAUCUCAUUGGAUAUUUCUAAUACACUACUAAUGAUACCUUAGAAACUGGCUCAAUGAUAGAGGGAUUUCUAAGCAGUGUAAUUUCUACAUUCGAUGAACAGCUCCAUGAAUAUGCAAUAUAAAGAAUGAUUGCAGCUAACAUUGUUUCUAAUAAGGCUUAUUCCAAUCUCUGGGUUGCUUUUAAUAAUCACAUAGUCAUUCAGAAGAUUUGUUCUCCUGCUCCAUUUUGAAGGCUGUUCUGUGCUUCAUAAAAUCAGUUCAUAUAAAACCACUGAGUUGAUUUUUCAUUUUGCCUUUUCUGGAUACCUAGGGAUACAAUUGCAACUUGUCAUUUAUUCUAUAUGCAUUUUUGAAAGAUAACAUUUUUUUGUAUUUUGGGGCUGUUGUAAAUAAAAUGCUGUAAUUACAUAGCUUAUAAACAACAAACAACUGUCACAUCCCAACCUAGAGGCUGAGAAGGCCAAGUAGAGCCAGCAGAGGUGGGUUCUAGUGUGAGCACACACUUCCUGCCUCACAGAUGAUGGUCUUGCUGUGCUUUCUCCUGUCAGAUGGGCAAAGGAUGUUCUUGGAGGCCUCUUUUAUGAGCACAAUAAGCCAAACCUGAGAGUCAGAGCCCUCAAUGUGAGCCCUUCACACAGGCUCCGCCACCACACACCCCCGUCUUGUGACUAAAUCUCAACAUAAUGGACUGGGAGAGUGGAUGGCACAAGGGUUCUGACUGUCACACCUGGGUGCGUGUCAUUCAAUAAGAGCAAUGAUGACUUGUUCCACCUAGAAAGUGCUCUGAAUAGAGAGGCAUCUCAAUGCAAUUUCUUCACCAUUACUCACUCAUCUUUUUGUGAUAUCACUUUCCUUUAUUAUCCAGAAACAUAAGUGGAGGAGGGAGAGCUACAGGGCAUGGAUCCACAGAAGAGGAAGUAGGAUAUCACUGUGAUAUAUUCUUUGUUUGUUUGUUUGUUUGUUUGUUUGUUUGUUUGAACUGAGUGUCAGAGAUCCUAGCAGGGUUCUACUCUAUGGACUGGAUGCCUCUUCUGUGAGGUCUUGAAUUCAUGGAAGUGAUUAAAAUCUGAUUUGGAUAGAUUAGCAUAUCUCAGAGAUUUCUAAUUAACUGAGAUUCUCUUCCCCUUGUCUUUUUUUCUCCCUCUUUCUUUUCAUUUUCAUUUUCAUUUUUUUUCUUGCCUUGAUUUUUGUUUUUAUUAAGUCAUUUUUUUUCUUUGUUAGGCAGAAUCUCACAUCAUAACCCCAAAUGACCUGUUACUCACCAUGUGGCCCAGCUGUCUUCAAACUCACCAGCCUCCUGCCUUAGCCUUCUAAAUGCUUGGAUUACAGGCAUGACCCACCAUAACUGGCUUUGUUUUAGUUUCAGAGAAGAUGAAACUGAUGUGCGUCAAAAAGUAAACUACCCACAUUUUAACUGGGCACAUUCCUGUCAAUCUGAUGAGAAUCUAUUUCAUACCCUGCUUUAGCUGGUAGUCUGUCAAGGAAAUGAGCUGAACAUGUCUGUGUACAGCUUUUGUGCCAUCCCUGGAUGAGCGAGCUGUCUGCCUCUAUGUUCUCCACAAAAUGGAAUAUAGCUGUACACCCAAGCCAAGUUAUGGAGGCUGGGAAGACCUAGAAUGUGGCAUCACUAUUUGCUGAAAUUUUUAAUAUAAUGCCUCUUAGCCUGGUUUGGAGAAAACGUCACAGAGAGGCACCAUUUGUUGUGGUUUUACAUGAAAAUUUUCUGACCCUGAACCUGGUUUGAUGGAAAUCAUUUGCUGAGGUAAUUAUCUCAAAUUAACUACCAAGCUGAUGAAUCGCUUACUACUUAAAAGCUGUGAUGGGGAGAGGAGUAAUUGAGAGCGGCCUUGUUGGGAGGGGAUGUGGACAUUUUUUUUUUCAGCAGCCAAUCAACUUAGAGGUUUUUUUUUGUUUUGUUUUGUUUUGUUUUUGUCUUGUUUUUUUUUCUGUGUAGAAUCUGAAUGUAUUGUCACAAGGUGAACACCAG
rnacentral:lncRNA from 1 species